UUGGAUUUGGGACCUCAGAUGUUUGCUUAGCUUUUUCACUUAAGGAUGAUGCUCUAUAACUUCAUCGUGGUUAUUUUAGAAAUGGAGCCUAGCAAAGUUUUCUGCCUUGGCCAGUCUUGAAUGAAUGACCAUCCUCUGGCUGUCAUCCCACUGAGCAGCUAGGAUUAUAGAUAUGAACCAAUGGCACGUGGUUACUGUUUAUGUUUAAUACAAAGUCCUUAUGGAAGUGUGAUGUAAGAAGUACAGGUAUACCAGAUGCCCAAAGUUGUAGAAUUCCCAGGGUCUUCUCUGCUUCACAAAUUAUUGUCAUAGUUCCUUGAGGUUCAAGAUAACAAGCAAAAGUCUGGAGUAAAUUAAUUCUCUAUUUUGUCCCAUUUCUUAUCAAAUGGAAGAACAUAUUUUGAUGAGAUUAGGCUCUAAAAUUAAUCACUAAAAUAAAAAUAAAAUGUGUUUUUUGAAAUGUUUAGUUAAAUUAAAGAAUGAGAUUUUUGAAAAUUAUGGCCAUGCAUAAAACCAUUGGGAUGUAGACAGUAUAGUGUUAUGAAAUUUAUUACUCAAUGGGGAUACAUUGGUGAUUCAAUAGUUUUUUUUUCUCCAUUAAAACAAUAAAUUGCAUUUCUCAUUAUGGACUAUUAUCUCUCCCUCUGUUGAUUUUUUAAGGUUUUUAUAAUUUACUCUAUAUUAAUAAAUGAGUUUAAUAAUGUCCUUAAGCCUCCUAGCACUCCCCCUACUUUUCAUGGGACUAUUAAAAAAAUCAGUGCCUGCAGGCUUCUUAAACUGAUCUACAUAGCCAAUUAUGUUUGAGCUUUCAAAGGGCAAUUAAUAUAAGAGUGACAAUAUUCAGUCCUGUCUGCACUCAACUUACUGGUAGCAAAAUUAGUAUUGCUAUGAAAAUGAUAUUUUCCAUGUGGUUAAUAUUAUUGCUGUAUCACUGUAAUUUCUUUUUUCCUUGAGAUGAACUUGAGGUUCCAUUGCUUAUUUUAUUAUGCUUAGGUCUGGUCUUUGUGGAGGAAAAAGAAAUAUUCUUACAUGACCUGCGUUGUCUGUAUCACUACAUUCUUCACUUAUGUGGGGAAGUGUGUGGAUUCCCAAGGAAUCUAGCAAUGAACCCUCUUCCCAAGUGUAUUAUAUUUAACCAUACUGAAUGUGUCCCUGUGUUACAGAUACAAUGAUAUGUUAGAUAUAAUGAAUUUUACUUCUUUUUCCCCUGACCUGUAUUAGUUGUUGGCAGUAGUGACUGCCCUAAAAAAUCAUUACCUUUUUUACUUGGGAACUAUCUUCUGCCAUUUGGCUUAGCCAGUAGAGAUGAUAGACAAAUGAAAAAUUGACAUCCCUCACCCCAAUUUAUGCUUCCUAUGCUCUACAAUGAUGCUUUGCAAGUGAUUUUCUAAAUUCUAUGUGAACUCAAUUUUCUGGGUUUCUCCAAAUCUAGUCAUUUCCUGUAUGUAGUUGAAAUCUCAACAAUUGCCCUUCUAUUAAGCCAUGAUUUUCUUGUUGCUUUUCGGUAUGGAACUAUAGCAAAAUACCCAAGGAUAGAUCCAUUAGAAAUAAAGAUGUUUAUUCGACUUACAAUUCUGGUAUCUUGAAGGCUCAACAACAUGACCCCAGCACCAUGGCAAGGAGCCCCUUGGCUGUGUCACAUGGUAGAGGUGAAUGAAGGGAAAUGGCUGUGUGCAUAAAAUGGAGAUGCCAUAGAAUGCUAGCCUUGAGCAAAAGGAAGCCAGGGACAGUGCUCAGGC